rnacentral:rRNA from 1 species
CGGAACACGUACAGAACCUCCUUUAAGCGGGGAUAGCCCAUAGAAAUGUGGAUUAAUACCCCAUAAUAUUAUUGACUGGCAUCAGUUGAUAAUUAAAGAUUUAUCACUUAAAGAUGGCUGUGCGGCUGAUUAGGUAGUUGGUUGGGGUAACGGCCCACCAAGCCAUCGAUCAGUAACUGGUGUGAGAGCACGACCAGUCACACGGGCACUGAGACACGGGCCCG